rnacentral:lncRNA from 1 species
GGAAGUUCCGUGAUAGAGCGCCGGCGUCCCUUUUCCGGACUCAGUUUAGUGCUGUGGUUGUGCUUUAGGCUUGGUUCACUUGGACUGCGAUGUGACCACUGCGGAGAAUUGGCCAACAAUGUUCCCUAAAAAUGACUGGAGGAAGGAGAUGGGAGCAAGGCUGGAUUAAGUGAGUGCUUGCCUAGUACAAGAAGCCCUGGGUUCCAGUGGAGCAGGAUCAGAACAGAUCAGCAUGGAGAGUUGACCCAGAGUUAAGAGAAUUCCCUGCACCCAUAUCCAGCUGCUCACAACUGCCUGAAACCCUAGCUCCAGAUGAUACAAUGCUCUCUUCUGGCCUCUGUGGGUACUCAAAUGUAUUUAUGUACCUGUGUAUGCAUAGACACACACACACUCACACACACACAAAUAUUUUUAAGCAAUUUUUUUUUUUGAGACAGGGUUUCUCUGUGUAGCCCUAGCUGUUCUGGAGCUUGCUCUGGAGACCAGGCUGGCCUGGAACUCACAGAGAUCCACCUGUUUCUGCCUGCAAGAGCUAAGAUUAAAGUUCUAGGAUGGAAACUGAAGAAAUAAGAGCAGUCCAGAUGGUCAAAUAAGGUCAUGGCCAAGUGACAAGGUGGCUGAAGAGCCAGAAGUCAUCCUAAUACUGGCUUUCCAGGUUCAGGUUCCACCCCAGAGCCUUGAUGAAGAUUGCUGAGGACCUUGAGAUCAUGACCACACAGUCCUCCCAUCCCCCAUCCUCAGGAAGUUCCACUGUGGUUUUACAGCUGGGCCCUAGCCUGUGUGCUCAGCCAGCUCCAGUAAUGUGCUGGACAGUGGUUGAGACCUGAUUGCCGGGCAGAGGAGCAGAUGGUAGAAAUGCUGGCGAAGAGGCAGUUUCUAGGUUGCUCUGUCCCAGAGCUCAGCGCUCAGGUGGCCAAGUGUCGGCCGGGAGUCAGUCUCUGACAAAUGCUUGUUUCAGCUUGCUCUGUCUGCCUCUGCUACAGAGAGAUACACCAAAGGCUUCCUCUGACGCAAGAUCCUACUGAGGCCAGCCGUGAGAAAUCUGAGCCCCUGUCUUCUUGGAGCUUGGCUUUGAAGGUUGAGAUAAAAAUCCACCAAGCUGUGACUUACUUCUUUUUGGCAAAAGAAACUUUGUUUCUUGGAACUGAAUGCUGGGAGUCU